rnacentral:rRNA from 1 species
GGAGUUUGGACCGUGUCUCAGUUCCAAUGUGGGGGACCUUCCUCUCAGAACCCCUACUGAUCGUAGCCUUGGUGGGCCGUUACCCCGCCAACAAGCUAAUCAGACGCAUCCCCAUCCUUAACCGACAAAAUCUUUGGUCCGGGUCAGAUGCCCUCGCUGGACCACAUCGGGCAUUAAUCCGGUUUUCACCGGGCUAUUCCCAAGUUAAGGGAAGGUUGGAUACGCGUUACUCACCCGUGCGCCGGUCGCCAUCAGGAAUUGCAAGCAACUCCCAUGCUGCCCCUCGACUUGCAUGUGUUAAGCCUGUAGCUAGCGUUCAUC